AACACUGAAUCUUGUCUAAGUAAUUAAAAUUAAAAAAAAAUUAUAAAGUUAUUAAAAAUAAAGUAAAAUAAAAAUAAAAAUAAAAUGAAAAAAAAUUAUUGUUGUUACAUAUAUUCAUAUAUCUUAUAGCCUAAAAAAAGAAACAAAACAAUUAAAACAAUAUUAUUCCUUUUAUUAUUUACACACCUUGUUUAAUUGUUUCAAAACCCUAUUAUUUGGUUUUCCAUUUUUAACCCUUAGCCUAAUGGCCCAAAAUAAUGCAAAACUCUUUUUACUUUCUCAUCAUACUAUUUUUCUUCUCACAUCUCACCCUCCACGUCACCCUCCACAUCACCCUCCACGUCACCCUCCACAUCACCUAUCUUUUUCAUCUACUAUAUUAAUCUUUUCAAACUAACUUUUCUAAUUUUCCACUUACCUUUUCAAAUUAUAUUUUAUCCACCUAAUUUUUAUAUUUUUUCUUUCACUUAUUUUCCACCAUAACAUUUUUUAUUAUAUUUUAUUUCAUCUAAUAUUAUUUUUAUUCAUCUAUUUUCUCUAUCUACAACUCUAUAAAUACUCACAUACUCUUCACUCCAUUUUUUACAAACACACACAUACAUUCAUAAUACACAUCUCUUCUUCCAUAUACCACAUAUCUUCACACACAAACCCCUUUCUUCUCUCCCACACCCACCCACCCACAUGCACGCACACACCCACCCACAUGCACGCGCACACACACAACCCAAAUAAAAUCUAGACUACUUUUCCCAAAAUACAAGGCCCAAAAAAAAUUAUUCUUACUUUACUAAAUCUUCAUGAUGACUUAAGAUGGCCCA
rnacentral:lncRNA from 1 species